rnacentral:rRNA from 1 species
ACGUAGGGGGCAAGCGUUGUCCGGAAUUACUGGGCGUAAAGAGCACGUAGGCGGUUGAUUGCGUUAGAUGUGAAAUUUUGCGGCUUAACUGGGGAAGUGCGUUUAGAACGGGUAGACUUGAGUCUGGGAGAGGUAAGCGGAAUUCCUAGUGUAGCGGUGAAAUGCGUAGAGAUUAGGAAGAACACCGGUGGCGAAGGCGGCUUACUGGACGAGUACUGACGCUCAGGUGCGAAAGCGUGGGGAGCAAACAG